GGCCUCAGAGAAGAGAAAGAGAAAGAGAAAGCAAGGGUAAAGGCAUAUGUAAUAGUAUAGAAUAGUGGACAUGAUAAUGAUGUACAGUACAGUGUUUAUGUAAUGUAUAGAAAUGAUGUAAUAACCAGUUAUGUAUUGAGUUAUAGAAUUGUGCUUGGCCCUAGUGUAUGUUUAUCCCUUUGCACAUGAUCAUUUUAUGAUUGAGAUAAUGUUGUUAUGAUGCGCUAGGCUUGGUGCAUGGUAGUCUUUCUAUCUCUGUAGUGACUGUAUGGUACCAUAGCAGGUAUCACUCUUCGAGUGCAUACAGACAGAGCAUGCAUAGUCCAGGCUUAGUUGAUGAGAAAAGUUUCAAGAAAAGAAAAGAUAGUCAAGCAAAGAAA
rnacentral:lncRNA from 1 species